UAUAAGGAGAAGUUGGGUUCUUAUGAGAAGCAGAUCACAAAUUUUAUAAAUACAAAUAGACCCAGAAAGCCUAUGCCGUCACUUCAACAAGGACAACUUCCCCAGCCCCACAUCCAGCAACCACAAUCUCAAGUUCCUCAAGUGCAGUCCCAUGACAAUCAAAUGAACCCUCAAAUGCAAUCAGUGAGCUUGCAAGGUUCUCUACCAACACUGCAGCAGAACAAUAUGUCAAGUUUGCAG
rnacentral:misc_RNA from 1 species